rnacentral:tRNA from 1 species
GCGGGUGUGGCGGAAUUGGCAGACGCACCAGACUUAGGAUCUGGCGCCGCACGGCGUGGGGGUUCGACUUCCUUCACCCGCA